rnacentral:misc_RNA from 1 species
GAUGAAGAACGUAGCGAAAUGCGAUACUUGGUGUGAAUUGCAGAAUCCCGUGAACCAUCGAGUCUUUGAACGCAAGUUGCGCCCGAAGCCACUAGGCCGAGGGCACGCCUGCCUGGGCGUCACACGCCGUUGCCCCCCCAUCUACUCCUUCGGGAUUGCGGGGGGGCGGAUGAUGGCCUCCCGUGCGCCUAGCCGCGCGGUUGGCAUAAAUACCAAGUCCUCGGCGACGCACGCCACGACAAUCGGUGGUUGCGAAACCUCGGUUGCCCGUCGUGUGCGUUCGUCGCGCAUCGAGGGCUCGAAAAAAUGCUCGGCUCCGGCUGGGCUUUCAACGCGACCCCAGGUCAGGCGGGGUUACCCGCAGAAUUUAAGCAUAUCAAUAAGCGGAGGA